GCUGUCUGGAGAUUCUGGACAAAGUCGGUUGGUCUGUUGUACAAGAGCGACGAAAAAGAGCAUCUAUGUCCGGCAACGCUUGAGUCCUCGUCGGCGAUGGAGUCGACCGCGGACGAAGCACUACCAAACCGCUACCGCCGCCGGACCGGACCAGGUCCAACCGCUGGCGGCGAUAAAGAAUUAGGAAAAGAACGGUCCAAGAACGACGACGAUUGCGACAAGGAGGUUUGGGACACGCUGAGCGGCAGCUUCCGACGGGUGCAGUCGGUGCUGGACCAGAACCGGGCGCUGAUUCAGCAGGUGAACGAGAACCACCAGUCGAAGACGCCGGACAACCUCGCCAAGAACGUUGCCCUAAUCCAGGAGAUCAACGGUAACAUCUCCAAAGUCAUGUCGAUGUACUCCGAUCUGUCCGUCAAUUUCGCCGGCAUUGUUCAACAGCGACGCGCGAUCGGUGAUUCGAAGAGCGGCAGCAGCAGUAGUGACGGCGACGACAAGGGGAAGAGUGAGGGCUCUUGAAUUCGUAGAUGAUGACUGCGGGACUACGUAUCAUUGCUUGCUCGCCGCAGAAUGAACAAGACUUCAGGAACUGUCACAUGAUCGAUAUGAAAUGGUGCCGCCUUAAACAUUGCAUUGUAUGAUUCUAGCAAGUCUGCAGAUUAAAAGUUAAUCUUUUGAAUAUUUUGGUCAAUUAUAGAAUGAUGAUCCUUUUUCAGUACUUCUGUUUUUCCAUGAUACAUAAUGACAUUUUUUUUGUGUGUCUUUGAUGCGGUUUCAUAAUCUAAUUCUCUCUAAACUUUUGGAAAGCAGCAAAAGGUAGGUGUGUGGGAUGAAUUCUGUUGGUUUUUUUGCGAUGUGUGGACUUUGGAGUAAAUUCUUUUACUGAGACAAAAUUGCAUCCCUGUUGUUGAUUCUAACUGGGAACAUAAGAUCUUGGAGCUGACUUCAGUGUCCACAUUUAGUAUAUUAGGGCUGAAGGUGGAGACUGGAGAGGGACCUUGUUAGCUUGUCAAAAUGAAGGAUUCUGGUAGUAAUUCUUCUCGAGUCUUCAGUUAUACCGGAACAUGACCAUGUGGAUGUGUGGUUAGUGUUUAGUAUUGAUGAGUGAUGACUUCUUUCCAUUGUUUUGAUCUUUCUGUUGCUGAUGAUCAAAUGACUUGGACAACCUGAUUCAGUGUCGAAUUUGGGAUUUAUUGGUGCUAAAAUAAUGGAGAACAUCCUAUGCUAUUGUCUGUCCCUGGCAUAUUUGUUGUCCAAAUACUGCUUUGUGGUAGACAUUUAUUGCCAAUGGCAGAAGGUUAUUGAUGUCACGCUUGCAUUUUUAAUCUUGUGCAAACUUAAACAUCGACUAUUGCAAUGUCAGUGAUCCUUGUAUUAUAUCAAGGCUGGCUUUGUGGCUUUCUAUCUGCAACCUACAUGACAUCCCUCCACAGAUCCACUCUGUAUCUGAGGUUUUGCAAAAUUAUCUAAGUGAGGAUGGUUUUGGAUUUUCAGUAGUUAGGCUUUGCUGGUAAUUUUCGAGAAUUUUGUAUUGUCAUCUCUGACUCUCUGUAAACGGUGUAAGGUUACAUUGGAAAGUAUGAUACCCUGUUCCAGAGAUAAUUUGAUCAACUUGACAUGUAUAACGGUCACUUA